CCUACGGGUGGCUGCAGUGGGGGAUAUUGCACAAUGGGGGGAACCCUGAUGCAGUGACGCCGCGUGGGUGAAGGAGUGUUUCGGCGCGUAAAGCCCUAUCAGCAGGGAAGAAGGAGGACGGUACCUGACUAAGAAGCCCCGGCUAACUACGUGCCAGCAGCCGCGGUAAUACGUAGGGGGCAAGCGUUAUCCGGAUUUACUGGGUGUAAAGGGGGCGGAGACGGCGAAGCAAGGCUGGAGUGAAAGCCCGGGGCUCAACCGCGGGACGGCUUUGGAAACUGCUCGGCUGGAGUACCGGAGGGGGAGGCGGAAUUCCUAGUGUAGCGGUGAAAUGCGUAGAUAUCAGGAGGAACACCAGUGGCGAAGGCGGCCUGCUGGACUGUAACUGACGUUGAGGCGCGAAAGCGUGGGGAGCAAACAGGAUUAGAUACCCCAGUAGUC
rnacentral:rRNA from 1 species